GCCGGCUUAGCUCAAUUGGUAGAGCAACUGACUUGUAAUCAGUAGGUUGGGGGUUCAAGUCCUCUCGCCGGCACCA
rnacentral:tRNA from 1 species